CAAUAGCGUAUAUUAAAGCUGUUGCGGUUAAAAAGCUCGUAGUUGGAUUUCUGUCAAGGACAACUGGUCCGCCCUCCGGGUGAGCACAUAGUUUGGUCUUGGCAUCUUGCUGGAAACUGUUGCUGCGCUUGGUUGUGUGGUGCAGCUUUCAGCACUUUCACUUUGAGGAAAUUGGAGUGUUUCAAGCAGGCACAUGCCUUUGGACACAGUAGCAUGGAAUAAUUAGAUUGGGCUUUUGCUCCAACUUGUUGGUUCCUGGAGCUGAGGUGAGAAUCAAUGGGGAUUGUUGGGGGCAUCCGAAUUUAGCCGUCAGAGGUGAAAUUCUUGGAUCUGCUAAAGACGGACAACUGCGAAAGCGUUUGCCCAGGAUGCUUUCAUUGA
rnacentral:rRNA from 1 species